UACGGGGGGUGCGAGCGUUGUCCGGAAUCACUGGGCGUAAAGGGCGCGUAGGUGGUUUGAUAAGGGUGUGGUGAAAGUCCGGGGCUCAACCCCGGAUCUGCCGUGCCAACUGUCAAACUCGAGGGCUGUAGAGGCAGACGGAAUUCCGGGUGUAGCGGUGGAAUGCGUAGAGAUCCGGAGGAAGACCGGUGGCGAAGGCGGUCUGCUGGGCAGUUUCUGACACUGAGGCGCGACAGCGUGGGGAGCAAACAGG
rnacentral:rRNA from 1 species